UACGGGGGGGGCAAGCGUUGUUCGGAAUUACUGGGCGUAAAGGGCGCGUAGGCGGUUUGCUAAGUCGAAUGUGAAAACUCUGGGCUUAACCCAGAGCCUGCAUUCGAUACUGGCAGGCUAGAGUUCUGGAGGGGAUAGCGGAAUUCCUGGUGUAGCGGUGAAAUGCGUAGAUAUCAGGAGGAACACCGGUGGCGAAGGCGGCUAUCUGGACAGAGUCUGACGCUGAGGCGCGAAAGCUAGGGGAGCAAACGGG
rnacentral:rRNA from 1 species